rnacentral:rRNA from 1 species
UACAUGGGGUGCAAACGUUGUUCGGAAUUACUGGGCGUAAAGCGUGUGUAGGCGGCUUUGCAAGUCGGAUGUGAAAGCCCCGGGCUCAACCCGGGAAGUGCACUCGAUACUGCAGAGCUUGAGUAUCGGAGAGGUUGGUGGAAUUCUCGGUGUAGAGGUGAAAUUCGUAGAUAUCGAGAGGAACACCGGUGGCGAAGGCGGCCAACUGGACGAAUACUGACGCUGAGACACGAAAGCGUGGGGAGCAAACAGG